GACGAACGCUGGCGGCGUGCCUAAUACAUGCAAGUAGAACGCUGAAGGAGGAGCUUGCUUCUCUGGAUGAGUUGCGAACGGGUGAGUAACGCGUAGGUAACCUGCCUGGUAGCGGGGGAUAACUAUUGGAAACGAUAGCUAAUACCGCAUAAUAGUAGAUGUUGCAUGACAUUUGCUUAAAAGGUGCAAUUGCAUCACUACCAGAUGGACCUGCGUUGUAUUAGCUAGUUGGUGGGGUAACGGCUCACCAAGGCGACGAUACAUAGCCGACCUGAGAGGGUGAUCGGCCACACUGGGACUGAGACACGGCCCAGACUCCUACGGGAGGCAGCAGUAGGGAAGCUUCGGCAAUGGACGGAAGUCUGACCGAGAAACGCCGCGUGAGUGAAGAAGGGUUUCGGAUCGUAAAGCUCUGUUGUAAGAGAAGAACGAGUGUGAGAGUGGAAAGUUCACACUGUGACGGUAGCUUACCAGAAAGGGACGGCUAACUACGUG
rnacentral:rRNA from 1 species